GUCUUCGUGGUCAAGUGGUUAGGACACUUGCCUCUCACCCUUGAGUCCUGGGAUCGAUCCCUGGUCGAAGAGCU